CCUACGGGAGGCAGCAGUGAGGAAUAUUGGUCAAUGGUCGCAAGACUGAACCAGCCAUGCCGCGUGCAGGAAGACGGUCCUAUGGAUUGUAAACUGCUUUUAUACAGGAAGAAACCCUCCCACGUGUGGGAGCUUGACGGUACUGUAGGAAUAAGGAUCGGCUAACUCCGUGCCAGCAGCCGCGGUAAUACGGAGGAUCCAAGCGUUAUCCGGAAUCAUUGGGUUUAAAGGGUCCGUAGGCGGUCUUAUAAGUCAGUGGUGAAAGCCCAUCGCUCAACGAUGGAACUGCCAUUGAUACUGUAAGACUUGAAUGCUUAGGAAGUAACUAGAAUAUGUAGUGUAGCGGUGAAAUGCUUAGAUAUUACAUGGAAUACCAAUUGCGAAGGCAGGUUACUACUAAGUGAUUGACGCUGAUGGACGAAAGCGUGGGGAGCGAAUAGGAUUAGAUACCCUGGUAGUCCACGCCGUAAACGAUGGAUACUAGCUGUUCGGCGCAAGUUGAGUGGCUAAGCGAAAGUGAUAAGUAUCCCACCUGGGGAGUACGCACGCAAGUGUGAAACUCAAAGGAAUUGACGG
rnacentral:rRNA from 1 species